UACGGAGGGGGCUAGCGUUGUUCGGAAUUACUGGGCGUAAAGCGCACGUAGGCGGCUUUGUAAGUUAGGUGUGAAAGCCCCGGGCUCAACCUGGGAAUUGCAUUUAAGACUGCAUAGCUAGGGUGCGGAAGAGGGAAGCGGAAUUUCCGGUGUAGCGGUGAAAUGCGUAGAUAUCUGGAGGAACACCGGUGGCGAAGGCGGCGUUCUGGACUGCAACUGACACUGAUGAACGAAAGCCAGGGGAGCAAACGGG
rnacentral:rRNA from 1 species